rnacentral:lncRNA from 1 species
GUGGAAGUCACCUCGAGUAUCUCGGGGCUUGGUGACCUUUAAUGUUCCUGCUCUUCUGCCACCACCAAUCAGAAUAUUUGAGGGCUGCUGGGCAUGGUGGAGCAUGCCUGUCGUCCCAGCACUUGGCAGGCUGAGGCAGGAUCGUCGUGAGUUCCAGGCCAGUCUGGACUACCUAUCUGCAGAUGGUUCCUUCUACCUAUUGACUGGUAGAAGUAAGCGCUACCGAGGGGAAGAGGUACCCAGGGAGUGAGACAUGGCCCUCCUCGUCCUGAGAUCCUGGAGCUCUUCAGUUUUCAGUCCUCACACCAGCCCUUCCAGCUCAGAAAAUACAGGCACCAUAUUUACAGCUUCCGCGGAGCCCUCCUUUCUUCAAAUUCCUCCAAGCACUCAACAGUGUCAAGUGUCAGAAGCAUUAAACUUGUCAUUUUGCCCG